rnacentral:lncRNA from 1 species
AGUCAGUCUUCCACUCACAGCCUUUGGAUGAAGACAGAACUCUCAGCUCCUUCUGCACCAUGCCUGCCUGGAUACUGCCAUGCUCCCACCUUGAUGAUAAUGGACUGAACCUCUGAACCUGUAAGCCAGCCCCAAUUAAAUGUUGUUUUUUAUAAGACUUGCCUUGGUCAUGGUGUUUGUUCACAGCAGUAAAACCCUAACUAAGACAGAAGUUAGUACCAGGAGUGGGGUAUUGCUGUGAUAGGCCUGACAAUGCUUUUAUUUGAAAGAAUGUGGAUUUUUGGACUUUGGAUUUGGAACUCUGUGGGAAGCCAUUCCAGACUCCCUGGCCAGCCAGAGGGAGAUCUGUGCCAGGCAGUAAACAAGCCCAUAUUAGGUGGAUGGCAUGCCCUUAAUCUCUGAUUGGCUGAGCAAGCCUGCCUGGUGAGGUGAUGUGAACUGUGGUGAUUGGUGGGGGCGUGGUUGUGGCUUGAGUGGAUAUGCUUGUACCCCAAGGCACGGGGGAUUUGAAGAGAGAAGCUACCUGAGUAAACUGCUUUAAGAAGAACCGGUGGUUGCGUUUUCCUUGCUGGUCGAGUUGGACGCAACAGAACUCAGUGGAAUGCUUUAAAUGGGGAUUAAUGGGUCAUCCUAGUAGGAAUAUGGAAGACUUUGUUGCUGGGAGUAAUUUGAACUGUGCUGACCUUGUCCAAGAGAUUUCAAAGGAGAAGACUUUCAGUAUGUGGCAUAAAGACUGUUUUUAUGGUAUUUUGGUGAAGAAUGUGGCUACUUUUUGCCCCUGUCUGUAAAGUCUGCCUGAGGCUAAGGUGAAGAGACUUGGAUUAAUUGCAUUGACAAAGGAAGUUUCAAAAAAGCCCAGCAGAGACUUUGUUCUAAUGUUAAGUCUCACAAAGAGAAGUUUGAACAAGCAUAGCAAGCUUAGAAAGGCAAAAUAUAAAAUAUAUAGUUUGAGUAUUAAAGGCAUACCAGGAAGUGAAAUGGAGCAAAUCCUGUGUUCUAGGAAAUAACAGAUUAAGGGAGUGGGACCUUGGGGCAAGAUCCUACCCAGCUGAAUUUAGGCAUGGUGUUACACACCUUUAAUCCAAUGAGACAGGCAUGCUGAUGUCUGCAUUCAAGAUUCAAUCUACAGAGCAUGAACCAGGAUAGCCAAGCUUAGGCAGUGAAGGAUUUAGAAAACAUAAAGCUAGUACAAGGGGAUCAUAUUCUAGUUCCUGUAAGCAGCAGAACUCGGCAGCUUCAGCCAUGUGGCUUUGGCUCUAGAGUUAAGAAUGGAAGAAACUACUAGGAAAAUUGAUGCUGGUUAGCUGGAGCUAAGGAAUUAGUGGUGACUAAGAAGAGACCAGCAUCAUUGAGGUGAAAUCUUCUGGAAAUUGUUUUCUGGGAGCACAAAGAAGCUGUGUUCCAGAGAUACCCAAGGUUGUACCUCAUGCUGUGACUGGACUUGGUAAUGUGUCAGAGUCACUCAGGUGGUACUGCUUGUGAAGGAAUGAAGGGAUCAUGGAGAGAAGCUGAGGCUUAGCACUGUGAGAGGCCAGGGAAGGCCACUGGAGAAGGUGAAGCCUCAGCUGGAGUUGAUGGCCCAGGACUGAAGGGAUCAUGCAAAGGAUUUGAGGAUUAGCACCAUGAAGAGAGCCUAUGAGAGGCUAUUGGUGAAGCCUGGUUGGAGUGGAACUCCCCAGCGUAUGGGAGAUGUCAGUACCAUGGGAUGAUCACCAAGAACAGCAGCCAUAGUGGAGUGGAUCAACCUGAGCUUAGAGUGCUACAGAAGGCAGAGCUGGAAAAGUGAUGCCAGCCCGUAGGAGGAGUCCAAAAGAUCAAGUGGAAUCCCAGGCACUGAAACAAGAAGCUGUAACAUUGAAAUUGCCUUGGAGACUCAAAGAUGUUAAAGAUGCCAGAGCCAUGGGAUACAUGCUCAAGAAAGCUGCUAACAGGGGGUGGAACCAGCCCAGGAGAAAGCAGUUUGUAGCAGUCAACAAAGAUGAAAAAGGAGUGGAGAUCUGAAGACUGCUUUGACAUCAGCCAUGGAGAUGCAGAGUUUGGAGUUUGCCCAGCUGGUUUCCUGCCUUGCUUUGGGGAUUACAGUUAAUUAUGUUGAAUGAAUCUCAGAAGAGACCUUGAACUUUGGACUUUUAACAUUGUUGCAACUGCUAUAGACUAUGAGGACUUGGAAAGUUGGACGAAAUGCAUUUUGCAUUAUGCUAUGUUUAAGUAUGGCCCCAUAGACUCAUGUUUUUGAACAAGUCUAUGGGGACCAGGGAGUGGAAUGUGAUGGUUUGUAUAUCCUUGGACCAGGGAGUGGCACCAUCUGAAGGUGUGGCCUUGUUGGAAUAGGUGUGACCUGGUUGGAAUGGGUGUUUCACUGUGGAUGUGGGUAUAAGAUCCUCACCCUAGUUGCCUGGAAGUCAGUCUUCCACUCACAGCCUUUGGAUGAAGACAUAGAACUCUCAGCUCCUCCUGCACCAUGCCUGCCUGGAUACUGCCAUGCUCCCACCUUGAUGAAAAUGGACUGAACCUCUGAACCUGUAAGCCAGCCCCAAUUAAAUGUUGUUUUUUAUAAGACUUGCCUUGGUCAUGGUGUCUGUUCACAGCAGUAAUACCCUAACUAAGACACCCCAUAAAAACCCCUAGCUUUUGUGCUCGGGGUCGAAUCCAUGUCUCCUGCGUGAGAUACAUUUCGACCUGGAGCUCCGUCAUUAAACUACCUUGUGUGUUUAC